rnacentral:rRNA from 1 species
GUGAACGCUGGCGGUAGGCCUAACACAUGCAAGUCGAACGGCAGCACAGUAAGAGCUUGCUCUUACGGGUGGCGAGUGGCGGACGGGUGAGGAAUACAUCGGAAUCUACUUUUUCGUGGGGGAUAACGUAGGGAAACUUACGCUAAUACCGCAUACGACCUACGGGUGAAAGCAGUGGAUCUUCGGACCUUGCGCGAUUGAAUGAGCCGAUGUCGGAUUAGCUAGUUGGCGGGGUAAAGGCCCACCAAGGCGACGAUCCGUAGCUGGUCUGAGAGGAUGAUCAGCCACACUGGAACUGAGACACGGUCCAGACUCCUACGGGAGGCAGCAGUGGGGAAUAUUGGACAAUGGGCGCAAGCCUGAUCCAGCCAUACCGCGUGGGUGAAGAAGGCCUUCGGGUUGUAAAGCCCUUUUGUUGGGAAAGAAAAGCAGCAGGUUAAUACCCCGCUGUUCUGACGGUACCCAAAGAAUAAGCACCGGCUAACUUCGUG